AUCAAUUUUUUAAAAUUAGUUUUAGAGUCUUCAAAGAAUCUUUGAAUCUGUUACCAACGCCAUGACAAAAUGAAAAUACGCACCCUUCCUAUGAUGAAGGUUUCCGAAAAAAAGGAACAAAUAGAAAAAGUGGAUGUCCUCUAAAAAAGAAGAGUGGAGAAUAAGAAACAAGAUAAAUCAUAACUCUUUCAUCAACAAAAUAAAAAAGAAAUUUGAAUGGCAUUGAUGCUGAGGAUUCACUUCCUUGGCUUGAAUUCAUUUCAAAUUUUCUUAUUUGCUUUCCGCACUUUCCCAAAUAAUGGAUGGAAGGAACAAAAAAGCAACAGCAGCAACAACGAACCAAAUAUUUCUUUUUCUAUCGACCCUUAAAUAAUUCUUUCCUCGGAUGUUGUCAUUGUUGAUAUAUUUCUUUUUUAGUGUUAUGUCCAUGAAUGUAUUUGAGAUUUAUUUUUA
rnacentral:sRNA from 1 species